ACCUUUCUAUUUAAAUUGCAGAAAGAAAAAAAAUUAUAAAAGCCCCAGCAUUAGAGUUUGUUAUGGGGAAGACCCGGUUAAUUAGAAGGGCAUAGCCCAUUACACAUAUAAUACCCGAUGAAACACAUAUAGUAGAACUUAGUUGGAAACCUAUGGAGAGGGUAGCCGAUAGAAUAGUAAAAGUGGCAUUUAAGGAGAAGAGAACCAGAGGUUGACCAUCAUCAAGGAGAGGGGAGGAUCCAAUUCCCGCAGGCUAGAGAUCUUACUUCGAAUGAUAGUAUCGAAGAUCCGGAGUAAGGCUUCUACAGAUCAGAACUGUUGAUGGUGAAGCCGAUUGUUGCGUUCUUCCCAGAGUAAGUAGAGAGUACAUUUCCAAGCUAGAAGGGUGAGUCUUCUCACCGUGGAUCCUUGCAGAGAUUGCAUGUGACCAAGAGUAGUCAGCCAAAAAUUGGAAGAUUGGAACCCGCAUUUUAAGGCGAUUAAAGACCAGACAGACCAAGUGAAACGGCAGAUAUAGUAUAAAUGGUCUCGGCUCUUAGGGCAAGAAUUACAUAGCAAACAAGAAGGGUCAGACUGAAGUCCCCACUGCAGUAUCCUAUCUCGAGUUGGGCAUCGAUUAAACACCAAGAGCCAAGUAUGGAAACUGUGUUUUGGGAUGCCUCUUGAAUUCCAUACCGCUUUACGCCAAGGGACCAGGGGGAGGAAGAUCGUAGGAGACGAUAGAUUUGGCUAGUGGAGUACUUUUUUUGAUUUAGCGUUGUAUUCUGAUGGAUUCCGAGUCUCGAAUCAGCAGUAGUAGAGAGGAACUCCUUUAUUUUACCAAACGGAGACCAGUUGUCAGACCAAACUCUACAGUUGUUUAGCGAGCCGCGUAAGAAAUGGAGCCUGAACCAUGCCACCCAAACUGAGCCAGAUUGGAAGAAGAGAAGCCAGAUGAGCUUCAGCAGACACGCACGAUUCCAAAAAUAGAGGUCACAGACUCCCAAUCCCCCUUGACUCUUCGGUUUAGUUACCAUUUCCCAUGAGACUCUCGCAGUGUGGUGUUCUUCCACAUUCCCUUUGCAAAGGUAAGCACUGCAUGGAGAGUGGAUCUUGGAUAUACAUUUUUUAGGAAGAGCAAAGGUGGCUCAUCAGAAAUUGGAGAUCCCUAAAAUGACAGUGUUGAUGAGCAUUAGUCUACCAGCAAAAGAUAAGUUUCUCGCACACCAGUUACAUAAUUCCUUGCAGAAAAAAACAAAUGUGUUAAUUAAGAAACUUUUACAUAUCCAUGUAUGGGUUUCCUUUCACGUAUGGUAUACUAGUAACUACCGAAUAGUAGUUAUUUGAUAUAUGUCGAAAAUGAAAUUCACACGCGUGGUAAUAAUUAUGGGACCGUAUGUUAAAGAACACUACAAUUUCAUUCUUUGUUGGUCAACAAUAAAAACAAAAACAAGAAAGAAAAACGAAUUUUUUUGUCGUUUGUUAAAUUUUCUUGGAUUCCAUUCAAUGAUCUAAAAAUGCAUAGAUCUUUUGGGUUACAGUUUCGAAGACCUCUACAAGGGUGUAACCAUCUGCAACUAUUAAAUUGCUUUCUUUAAUGCAUCUUUAACAUAUUUAUUGUUAGUUGGAAUUUAAUACGAGAAGGAACUUGUAACAGUUUUUUUUAAGGGCU